GGCGAUGUUUCAUUCAAAUUUCUGCCCUAUCAACUUUCGACGGUAGGGUAGUGGCCUACCGUGGUGGUAACGGGUGACGGAGGAUUAGGGUUCGAUUCCGGAGAGGGAGCCUGAGAAACGGCUACCACAUCCAAGGAAGGCAGCAGGCGCGCAAAUUACCCAAAUCCCAACUCGGGGAGGUAGUGACAAGAAAUAACGAUGCUCCGGCCACUGGUCGGGCAAUCGGAAUGAGAACAAUUUAAAUCCCUUAUCGAGGAUCAAUUGGAGGGCAAGUCUGGUGCCAGCAGCCGCGGUAAUUCCAGCUCCAAUAGCGUAUAUUUAAGUUGCUGCGGUUAAAAAGCUCGUAGUCGGAAUUUCGGGUGGCGCCUACCGGUCCGCCUUUGGUGAGUACUGGUAGGCGCCACCUUUCUGCCGAGGACGGGGUACUGGGCUUAGUUGUCUGGACCCCGGAGUCGGCGAUGUCACUUUGAGUAAAUUAGGGUGUUCAAAGCAGGCUUAUGCUCUGUAUACACUAGCAUGGGAUGACACGAUAGGACUUCGGUUUAUCUUGUCGGUCUGUAAAUCGGAGUAAUGAUUAAGAGGGACAGUCGGGGGCAUUCGUAUUUCGUAGUCAGAGGUGAAAUUCUUGGAUUUACGGAAGACGAACUUCUGCGAAAGCAUUUGCCAAGGAUGUUUUCAUUGAUCAAGAACGAAAGUCGGGGGCUCGAAGACGAUUAGAUACCGUCGUAGUCUCGACCAUAAACGAUGCCGAC
rnacentral:rRNA from 1 species